ACAAUGGUUUUUUUUAAAACCAUUCUAAGGAAAGUAUACACAGUAA
rfam:Rattus norvegicus chromosome 17, whole genome shotgun sequence.